AGUGAACGCUGGCGGUAGGCCUAACACAUGCAAGUCGAACGGCAGCACAGUAAGAGCUUGCUCUUACGGGUGGCGAGUGGCGGACGGGUGAGGAAUACAUCGGAAUCUACUUUUUCGUGGGGGAUAACGUAGGGAAACUUACGCUAAUACCGCAUACGACCUACGGGUGAAAGCAGGGGAUCUUCGGACCUUGCGCGAUUGAAUGAGCCGAUGUCGGAUUAGCUAGUUGGCGGGGUAAAGGCCCACCAAGGCGACGAUCCGUAGCUGGUCUGAGAGGAUGAUCAGCCACACUGGAACUGAGACACGGUCCAGACCCCUACGGGAGGCAGCAGUGGGGAAUAUUGGACAAUGGGCGCAAGCCUGAUCCAGCCAUACCGCGUGGGUGAAGAAGGCCUUCGGGUUGUAAAGCCCUCUUGUUGGGAAAGAAAAGCAGCAGGUUAAUACCCCGCUGUUCUGACGGUACCCAAAGAAUAAGCACCGGCUAACUUCGUG
rnacentral:rRNA from 1 species